UGACGGCCAUCGCGGCGGGGAUACGCCUGGUCUCGUCCGAUCCCAGAAGCUAAGCCCGCCGGCGUUCCUUCCUGUACUGUGGUGCGCGAGCCCACGGGAACCUAGGAGCGCUGUCAGCC
rnacentral:rRNA from 1 species